UUUCCAAAAUGAAUCAAUGUUGGACUCUCCACCUUUAACGUUGUUCAAUGUCAACGUUUAUCAUUAACAAUCAAAGGGCAAGAAUCUCAUCAUUUUUACUUAACCCAAUCAAUAACCAACCCCUCCUUUUCUUAAACCAUUUGGUUUUACGCUCUACCAUUCACACACCAACGACAAACCUCAAACCCACUUCUCUGAUGACCGGAGCUCCAUCAAAUCGUCUUCUCCAUCAAAACAAAAAGGAUGCCGAUCAGAAUAAUGAUAAUGAAUCUAAUAAGAGGGAGUACAUGUAUAUGUCUACUUCAAACAUUAUGAUUAAGUUGAAGUGUGGGUGAACUUUACCCUCACAGUUGUGAUGAUCCAUGUGGUGGUCAUGGUCUACGGUAGCCCAAUCCUCAACCUGCGGUAUCCACUUAGGCAUCAAAGGAUUGACUAGUCACCACCAAGAACAUAGCAUUAUAUUACAUAGGAUAACUAAACUAUAAGUAUUAGGGAGUUUUUGAUGAUCUUGAUGUUAAAAAGUAACUAAUUUUUACUAAGAGCAUGGGUUGACUGUGUAAUUCAAACACUUAGAAUGUGUUGAAUAUUUAAUUAGUUGCUCUGGUU